rnacentral:rRNA from 1 species
CCUACGGAGGCAGCAGUAAGAAAUAUUGGACAAUGGGCGAAAGCCUGAUCCAGCCAUGCCGCGUGCAGGAUGAAGGCCUUCGGGUUGUAAACUGCUUUUGUACGGAACGAAAAGCUUCGGGUUAAUACCCUGGAGUCAUGACGGUACCGUAAGAAUAAGCACCGGCUAACUACGUGCCAGCAGCCGCGGUAAUA